rnacentral:ncRNA from 3 species
CGUGCCGGCCGGGGGACGGACUGGG